rnacentral:rRNA from 1 species
CCUACGGGAGGCAGCAGUAGGGAAUAUUGGGCAAUGGGCGAGAGCCUGACCCAGCCAUGCCGCGUGCAGGAUGAAGGCCUUCUGGGUUGUAAACUGCUUUUCUCAGGGAAGAAAAAGAGGAUGCGUCCUAAACUGACGGUACCUGAGGAAUAAGCACCGGCUAACUCCGUGCCAGCAGCCGCGGUAAUACGGAGGGUGCAAGCGUUGUCCGGAUUUAUUGGGUUUAAAGGGUGCGUAGGCGGCCCGUUAAGUCCGGGGUGAAAGCCCACAGCUCAACUGUGGAACUGCCCUGGAUACUGGCGGGCUUGAGUCCAGACGAGGUUGGCGGAAUGGAAGGUGUAGCGGUGAAAUGCAUAGAUACCUUCCAGAACCCCGAUUGCGUAGGCAGCUGACUAGGCUGGUACUGACGCUGAGGCACGAAAGCGUGGGGAGCGAACAGGAUUAGAUACCCUGGUAGUCCACGCCGUAAACGAUGGAUACUCGCUGGUGGCGAUAGACAGUCACUGUCGUAGACGAAGACGGUAAGUACGUACCGACCGUACGGGAGGUACGCGUCGCGAAGAGUAGUUAAACGUUACGUAAAGGUUAAAGUUAGUACGGCGUUGGAGACGNGCGACGGACGACGACGAGGGAGGAGG